GAUGGUAAAGACCAGUUGGUUGGAUGGUAGGGUUCCAGUUGGUAGGUUCCGUUGGUUGGAUGGUAAAAGGUUCCAGUUGGUAUGGAUGGUAAAGACAGGUUCCAGUUGGGAUGGAUGGUUCCAGUUGGUAUGGUGGUAAAGACAGGUUCCAGUUGGUAUGGAUGGUAAAGACAGUUCCAGUUGGUAGGAUGGGUCCAGUUGGUAGGAGUAAAGACGGUUCCAGUUGGUAUGGAUGGUUCCAGUUGGUAUGGAUGGUAAAGACAGGUUCCAGUUGGUAUGGAUGGUAAAGACAGGUUCCAGUUGGUAUGGAUGGUAAAGACAGUUGGUAUGGAUGGUAAAGACAGGUUCCAGUUGAUAUGGAUGGUAAAGACAGGUUCCGUUGAUAUGGAUGGUAAAACAGGUUCCAGUUGAUAUUGGGUAAAGACAGGUCCAGUUGAUAUAUAUUUGGUAAAGGACAGGUUCCAGUUGGUAUGGAUGGGUAAAAAAAAGAAAGUACAAGCAUCGGCAUCUAUCUAGCAGGCUACAUACAGCGCAUUCGGGAAAAGUAUUCAGACCCCUUGACUUUUUCCACAUUUUUGUUACGUUACAGCCUUAUUCUAAAAUGGAUUACAUCGGGUUUUUUUGUCAUCAAUCUACUCACACAAUAUCCCAUUAUGUCAUCACAAUACCCCCAUAAUGACAAAGCAAAAACAGGUUUUGGGGAAUUUGUUAUCAAAUUUAUCAAAUUUAAAUAAAAAAAUGGAAAUACCACAUUUACACAAGUAAUUCAGACACUUUACUCAGUACUUUGUUGAAGCACCUCUGGCAGCGAUUACA
rnacentral:lncRNA from 1 species